UGGCUCAGACGGUAAAGCGUCUGCCUGCAAUGCGGGAGACCCAGGUUCGAUCCCUGG
rnacentral:tRNA from 1 species